rnacentral:sRNA from 1 species
AAGGGCGCACGGUGGAUGCCUUGGCACUAGGAGCCGAAGAAGGACGGGACUAACACCGAUAUGCUUUGGGGAGCUGUACGUAAGCGUUGAUCCAGAGAUUUCCGAAUGGGGGAACCCACUAUCUUUAGUCGGAUAGUAUCCUGACGUGAAUACAU